AACUGUAGAAAGCUACAUUGUAUAUAUUUAUAAUAUGUGUCUGACCUCAACUCUUUAAUUGUUAACAAAUAUUUUUUUUUUGUUGCUUUAAUUUGAUAUAUAUUAUUGUUCCAAUUUAAUCAUAUUUGAUUAGUUGCUUCUGAUCAUAAGAUAUAUGAUCUCAUGAUAUGGGAAAAGUAUAGUUAUAUACAGUAAUGUGUUCAUGCUUGGUGCAUUUUCUAAGAAAUCUCAAAGUGUUCAUUCACACAAAACCAAAAUUUCCAUGGAACCAGUUUACAGCAAAUUUAUUAUAUUAACCAAAUGUGAAAUAAUACAUUUACAUGUACAUGUACCAUAUAUUUAUUUCUCAAAUAUUUAAAAACUGGCCUGUUAAUGUUUGCUGCAUUUCAAGACAAUCUUUACUGAAGUAUAUGAAUGUACAUACAUUGAUUCGUAUUUUCAUUGUUAAAUGAUGUUAAUCACUGAUUAUUAUACUGUUUUUGUUCACAGCUGUUUUUUGAAUAAAAUAAAAU
rnacentral:misc_RNA from 1 species